UUUUUAGUAUAAGUAUAUCCUAUGCAAUAUUUGGGAUAUACUUAUACUAAAA
rfam:Equus caballus chromosome 11, whole genome shotgun sequence.